UACGAAGGGGGCUAGCGUUGCUCGGAAUCACUGGGCGUAAAGCGCACGUAGGCGGACUCUUAAGUCGGUGGUGAAAUCCUGGAGCUCAACUCCAGAACUGCCUUCGAUACUGGGAGUCUCAGAGUCCGGGAGAGGUGAGUGGAACUCCGAGUGUAGAGGUGAAAUUCGUAGAUAUUCGGAAGAACACCAGUGGCGAAGGCGGCUCACUGGCCCGGUACUGACGCUGAGGUGCGAAAGCGUGGGGAGCAAACAGG
rnacentral:rRNA from 1 species